CGUGAGAGAUCUAAUAUUCAACAAUCCUAUCUUUAGAUCAGAGGUGCUGCUGUGUGUUCAGUCCUAUUUAAUUUAAUGUUAAUCAGGUUACUAAAACAGACUUUCUGAGAAUUCCUAUAUUUUAGUUUCGCUCGGGGGACAGAAACAGUCUUAAUUUGAUAAAUCCUGAGUGACGACCCUAUGCAGCUAGCAAACGAUCAGUUCAGCCUGUCUGUCUGCUCUCUGGACUUGGCUCUGGACAGUCACUUGUUACCUAGUGCUGUUCUGAGCCUAUGACCUAUACUUCAAGAAAUGAGAGCAGCACCUCUCCAUCCAAAGGAGGAUAAAGAGAGGAUGAAGGUGUAUAGAGAGACAGCAGGAAAAGAGUUGGCACUUUAAAUGUUGGUACUAUGACUGGUAAAGGGAGAGAGGGAGCUGAUAUGAUGGAGAGGAAAAAGGUAGAUAUGUUGUGUGUUCUGGAGACCAAUGGUAGAGGAAUGUGGAAAGGCAGAUGGUGGUUGAUUUUGCUAAAAGGAUGGAAAUGGCAGUGGUGAACACGUAUUUUAAGAAGAAGGAGGAUCAUAGGGUGACGUAUAAGAGUGGAGGAAGGUGCACACAGGU